CGCCUGUUGUCAGAUUUUUCCCGCUGUUGCUGUUAAGUACUUGGGGAAAUUGAAGCUGAGUGAAACCACAUGAAAAUCAUCCAUUUUGAGGUCACUAGUGUUACUGUUUAGUAUCUCUGAACUUAAUUCUGAGAGCAAGGUGACACACGGAGCUGUGGGAAAGCUGCAUUGCUGCAGCAGGUCUCACACAGCGAAGCAAAAUGUGGGGAAUAAAACCUCACCGGAUACAAAGGUAGCCUGCAGUUGAGGGCUUUGCUUUUACCCAGUGCCUGAGAGGAAGUGCCACAGCAUCUGGGGACCUCGGUGGUCCCCGGCACUUGUGAUGUGUUUCCACACCUCUAGGACAGGGCCCUAGGCAGUUGGCACCAAUCCAGGCUGAUCCACUCUUAUUUCCCUGCUGACCUUGGGGGGAUCUGCUACAGAUGUCGCUGGUGUUUGCUGCAUCAGGAAGAUUGUCAGCAGGCCUCACUGGGAGUAGAUUAUGGGAAAGAAGACCCCCUAAGGUCAGAGAGUGGUGCUAUGAAAUCUCUACAAUAAUGCUUGGGCUGCGAUACACCAAAGAAGGAAGAAGAAAAGCAAGCUGAGAAAGAACCAGAUAUUUCCAGGCCUGAUCCCGCUGAAAGUUUCCCGUGAUGAAAGAAC
rnacentral:lncRNA from 1 species